UACGUAGGGAGCAAGCGUUGUCCGGAAUCAUUGGGCGUAAAGCGCGCGUAGGCGGCCCCGUAAGUCCGCUGUGAAAGUCAAAGGCUCAACCUUUGAAAGCCGGUGGAUACUGUGGGGCUAGAGUACGGAAGAGGCGAGUGGAAUUCCUGGUGUAGCGGUGGAAUGCGCAGAUAUCAGGAGGAACACCAAUGGCGAAGGCAGCUCGCUGGGACGUGACUGACGCUGAGACGCGAAAGCGUGGGGAGCAAACAGG
rnacentral:rRNA from 1 species